GGAACCGUGCCCGAAUCGCCCAGGGACCACUUUGAUAGAGUGGCUUAUGGGGGUUAAAGUCCCCCCAGUUCCU
rnacentral:tRNA from 1 species